AAGCGGAGCUCAGUUCAACUGCGGCAACUAGUGACGGUGGACGUGCGAAGCGGAAGAAGCACCGAAAGCUCAGUGAAGCGCGCGUUCUCUACAAAUAUAUUUAAACCGAACAGGCAGGCUUGUUAGUAAAUUGGUACCAUAUUUUUCAGUGCUUCGCGCAAAUUUAGUAAAGCGGAGUUUUGCAAUUCAAAAAAAUUACCUGUGGAAAUAGCGAAAAUCGGUCGCAAGUGAAUUCUGCCAAAUAUUCGAGUUAAUUCAAAACAACAUAAAAAUAAAUUCUACAAGUAAAAAGCCGUAAAAGGCUUUGCAUUCUGUGGCCGCCAGCCUUCGAUUCAGUGGAGUGGCGAAGCGUGUGAAACUUUGUACGCCGAAAAGUGGCGGAAAGGCAAGUGCAACUGUCAUAGUAGUUGACUUCAAGAUUGGACUGCAUUGCAGCGUCUACAAAAACAUAAUAACAACAAAUACAAAAAAAGUAAAAUUGAAAAAAGUUACUCAACGGCCGCGCGAGAAUCUGAAAAAACGAAAAACGGAAAGCAAAACAAACGCAAAAAGCGUGUAAAUUAGGGUGUGCAAUUGAUAGUGAGUUCAUGGUGUGCGAAAACGCGAUUUUACAAAAAAUCUCAUAAAAAUAUUUGCACACACACACAGCGAAGCGUAUAAACAGUGUAACGCGUUAUUUUCCAUCAUUUUCUCAAAGCUGUGUUGUUGUUUAUUCUUUCGCUUUAAGAGGGACGAAAAAGCUGAGAAAUAACCGUUAUUGCAUAACACUGAAUCAACUCUACAAAUAUAAUUUGCCGAUGUUGCCGGAAUUGUGAUAUAUCGAAAAGUCAAAAAGAAACAAAAUGCAAUUGAAACGAUCCUUCAGCGCCAGCCAGCUACGGGCGAUGCUGCGCAAAGACGGCCUUGUGCGACUGCGUCAACCGGUUAUGACGGUUGUGCAAGUGGUUUGGCCCUGCUUGGUGUUUAUGCUGCUCUACCUCAUACGUCUCAAGUUCGGUCCCGAACACAUAGAAGACUGCCAAUUUCCCACGCGAUUGCUACCCACCAAAAAUCAGGUUCUACCAAGUUUCUACUCUUACAUCUGUAGUUUGGAAAAUAAUUGUAUGAAGACGACGCCAUACGAAGAGACAACGAGCUGGCAGAAUGCACCCAUGAAGCCAAUUGUUGAUAUCGUGAAUAUAUUUGUCACCGACGAUCGCAUGUUCAACGCUGUCAUCGAUUUGCCGGAAAAGGCGAAUUUCAUAAAUGCCGUAACGGCUGUGGUCACGGGCGGCCAUUUCAACCAGAUACGACAAAGCGUCGGCAGUGUUAUCAACCUGGUGCCCCAAGUGGAGGAUUUCCUAAACGGCACGUUCGAUAUAAAUCGACUCUUUUCAGAUCGCAGAACCUUUGUUAAGGCUGGUUACCUUAUGUGUGGUCAUCCGUUCCCCAGCACCGAUACCAUACCUCUUGUUAAUGACAUUCUCUAUGACACCGAAGACUUCAGCAAAAUAAAUGAUGACGAGAUUAAUGUAAUGCCCACGAAAUAUUGCAAACAACUGUACUUGAAUAUCACAACAACCACGACGGGCAAGUUGACGUGGAACGUGGUGAAACCCCUGAUACACGGCAAGAUUUUAUUUGCGCCUGUUAAUGAAGAUACUCUAUCAAUUAUGACGCAUGCCAACACGACGUUCGAGGAGUUGAACCGUUUGAAACGCUUGUCAGUUGCAGUCGCCGACAUUGUUACCAAGUUACGUGAAGACGGUCCAUUUCAAAAAGGCUUUGAUAGUCUGCUCAAGUUGGCCACUUCGCAAACUGUACGGUCCUACAUCGGCGAUGAUAUAAACGUCGACGAAAUUGUUGGCGUUGUAAAUCGUAUACGGACCGAUCCGCUCGUAUACGAUAUUGUGAUGACCAUCAAGAAUAUACUGGAAUGUUUUUCCGUGGAUCGCUUUGUACCAUUGGCAACCGCCAAGGAUUUACAACUCACUGCAUUCGAAUUGAACGACAAGCGUUUGUUCUUCGCGGCAGCAUAUUUCAACAAAACCGGUAAUGAUGUGUCCUACAAACUGCACAUGGACACCGAAAACACACAACCGACCUUUGAGAACAAGAACCGCUUCUGGUUUCCGGGUCCGUCGCGCAGCAUGAUACGCGACAUGAAAUACCAUCGUGGUUUCGUGCAGAUAAAGAAUGCCAUCGACAUGGGCAUCAUUAGACACCAGAAGUUGUUGCAUAAAAACGUCACUGAGGAAAACUCCUUCGAGUUGAGCACAAACAGUCCCAUUUCGAUUGAAAUUGAGACUGGUAGUGGAUUUGGUGAAGAUGAGGAUGAAGACGACGAUUGGACGACACCGACGAAAGAGAGUUUACCACAGGCACAUAACGAUGACGGCCGACCAAGUUCGAUGGAGACUAUGGUAAAUGUAGAUGAACUGAAGGUGAACACUCGCAGGCGACGCCAAGCUCUGCUCGAUUUACUUAGCGUUUUUGGCGGCAAUAGCGCAGACACGCUGAGCAAGUACGGAGUGGAUGGACUGCAGAUGUACACGAAGCAAUUUCCAUAUCCCGCUUACACACACGAUGACAUGAAGACGGGUAUUUACCUGGCACAGGCUAUACAAGUGGCCUUCUUUCUGGGUCUGGUAGCACAAAUCGCCAAUUGUGUUCGCCACUUAAUUUGGAUGCGUGAGAGUCGGAAUACAAUGAUCAUGCGUUCCAUGGGCCUGAAGCCGUGUUCGGAACUCACUUCUUGGGUUAUUGUAACAUUUGUGGAGCUUAUUGUAAUUUUUGUGGGUGUAACGUUUAUCCUGUACAUUGGUGGUCUGCUGCAGUUUGUCUCCUUUAUAUUCGUCAUGUUUUUCUUGAUUAUAUUUGGUGCAUCUUUGAUCUCUUUUUGCUAUAUGUGCUCAACUUUCUUCACGUCGGCCACUAUUGGCGCCGUGGCCACGGCACUGCUCUUCUUCAUCUCCUACUGCCCCUACAUCAUUGUGCUGCUCUUUGACUCUCACCUCAAUUCGUUCGAGAACUUCUGCAUCAACUUGUCCUUCACAACGGCAUUCUCGCAUGGUUGGAGCCAUAUUAUGCGCAUGGAGUUACAAGAGAUCGGUUUGAGCUUUGUGCAAGUCUUCCAAGAAGGUAUGAGUGGCGAAUUUGGAUUCGCAUUCAUUAUGAUGAUUGUGGAUGCUAUAAUCUAUGGCGCUAUCGGUUAUUUGGUGCGACAUUUUAUGGAUGAUGAGUAUCGAUUCAUUGAAGUGCAGCGCGAUGAUUUGGAUGCAAGUGUUGGUGCAACACUGACAAACGUGAGCAAGUUGUAUGGCGAGCAAGUGGCCGUGAGUGAUGUGAAUCUGUCGUUGUCCAGGGAUAAGAUCACGUGUUUACUGGGACGCAAUGGCGCAGGAAAGAGCACCAUUAUCAAAAUGCUUACGGGUCAAGUGGUGCAAUCGACGGGGCGUGUUAUACUCUCACAGGCAAUGACAAGUAGCGAAGAGUACGAUAAGGUGGGCGUAUGCUCUCAAGACAAUAUUUUAAUACCAAAUCUAACAGCGCGCGAACACUUGGAAUUGUAUGCGUCGAUCAAACUGAAGCACAACUACAAAUCGGAGGUGGAUAAAACACUUAAAAGCUUGAAAUUCGGCAAAUAUGAGAAUUAUCAGGCCUAUCAACUGUCGGGCGGUUACCAGCGUAGACUUUGCGUCGCUCUGGCCUUUAUUGGUUCACCGAACGUUGUGAUUCUGGACGAGCCAUGCAAUGGUGUCGACUCCAAAGCGCGCAAGGACAUCUGGGAACUGAUACAACGUCUGCGAAAAGGACGUGCCGUUGUUUUUGCUACACACUUCUUGGACGAAGCGGAGUUUCUAAGUGAUGUGAUGGUUAUCAUGAAGAACGGCAAAAUCAUAGUAAAACAUAGCCCAGAAACACUCAAAGAAUAUUGUACUUCCGGCUUUGAGGUACUCUUCCAUUGCAGCGACAGCCAAACUAUAACUGAAAUCCGCACUAUGGGUAAAGACAUGCUCUCCAGCUUCAAAGAACCCGAUUGGUUAGACAGUGGUGACAUUCGUCUGCAAGUACCUUACGAUCAAGGCGGCUCCAGCAAAUCACUGGCUUACCUUGAUUACCUGCAAAACUUACAGAACGCUGGACUUAUUGCCAACCUACGCGUUGAAAGUCGCAAUUUAGAGCAAAUAUUCGCGGACUUGCACGAAGACAAGGAAAACGCCAGCAAGGGUGUAAACACAAGGUUUAACAUGAAGAAGGUGGAACUGAAAAACUCGACAGUGGCUAAUAUAGUGAACAGUGGCUCGUUAGGUGUGCUCACAGCUGUUCAGAAUUUAUUACAUAAACGCAUCGUUCACUUCAGUAGAAAUUAUCGUAUUCUCCUUUGCGUCAUCGUAUUGCCUGCGCUAUUCGAGUUGCUCGCCAUGUGGUUCGUCACAUAUCGCUUGGAAGACGACUACGAUACAACAAUUAGUUUCACUCGCGAACUGUAUCCGAAAACAACACAAAUGUUCAGCAUGGAACUGAACAAAACACUGACAAAUGCGGCUUAUGAAGGCUUGGCCGAGCAGUGCUCCGCUGAGAGUCCGUGCCGGGAGUUUAGAAAUUCAAGCACGGCCUUCUAUUGGAUCUUGCAAUCAAUGAAUGAUUAUCAUGAGAAACGUUAUGGUGGCUACUCCUUUAAUGAUACGAAUGCUAUCGUUUGGUACAACAACAAAGGCUAUCAUGCUAUGAUGGCUUGGUUGAACGAUUUGAAUACGCGCUUGCUGCAAGUAGAGAUGGGCGAUAGUAACUUCAGCAUCACAAGCUUCAAUGAACCAUGGAAACUUGGCGCCGCCGAGCUCAGUACGACCUCAGUUUUGCGUCAAGCUGGCGAUUCGUCCAUGGUCUUCAUAUUACUCAUCGCAUUCAGUUUGGUGGUGGCUGUAUCAUCCGUUUUCCUGGUAAACGAACGCGUAAAAGGUGAGAAACUGCAACAGAAACUGUGUGGUGUAAACUUAGCCACCUACUGGGGUGUAGCUUUUGCUUGGGAUUUUCUGAUUAUGGUAAUCGCCAUAUUGGUCUGCGGCGCCAUCAUAUUCGCAUUCGGAUUGCCAGUUUUUGUCGCUCGUCAAAAUGUUUCGGGUAUAUUCGUGCUAGCACUGCUCUUUGCAUUUGCCUGUAUACCAGGUGUACAUGUGUUUGAGAAAUGCUUCAACGACUCCAGCGUGGCGAUCGUGACCAUAUUCUGUAUGAAUAUCAUAAUUCCACUCUUCACCAUGGCCAAUAUCAUACUGCUGGGCGUAAUCGGUGACUCGGAAGUAUGGGAUAAUUGGCGCUAUUUCCUUAACCGUGCCUUCCUCAUCUUUCCGCAACACGCUUUAGGCGACGGUUUACUUGAGAUCUGUAAAAAUUAUAUGGUCUCACUCGUCUUCCAACGAUACGAUAUCGAUUCUUACAAGCAUCCAGUUUCAAGUGAUUUGCUCCGUCCACAUAUGCUGGCCCUAUUCAUAAUCGGUGUUUUCUUCAUCGUACUGAACGUUUUGCUGGAGACCGGUCAGAUUUAUAAAUGGCGCGAAUCGUUAGUAAAUCGUCUGCCUUUCUAUCAAAAGUAUGCUGAAAAGCAGGCAGAGGAAUUAAAAAUCGUGUCCAUACAGAACUCGCUAAAAUGCGCCGAUAAAGACGAGACACCACAAGUACUCAAAGUAGACAACCUCUGCAAGUCUUACGAUCGCGGACAGUAUGUUGUAAAGAAUGUCACAUUCGCAGUGAAAGCCGGUGAAUGUUUCGGCUUAUUAGGCAAGAACGGCACCGGCAAAUCGACGAUAUUCAAAAUGCUCUCCGGCGAGCUGCAGCCGAAUGUGGGCGCCAUCAACUACUUCAAUGGCGAGAUUGCCUAUUGUCCGCAAACAAAUCCGCUGGACUCCCUGCUGACUGUCGAGGAAUGCAUACGGUUCUAUGGAAAUCUGCGACGCGUCGCUAAUAUGGAAAAGCUAAUAGAACACGUACUGGAGUCAUUCCAACUGAAGUCGUACCGUCAUGUGUUGGUUAAGAAUUUGAGUGGCGGCAAUCGUCGUAAGCUGACAGUGGCGCUCACUUGUUGCGGUCGCACCACCGUCGUGCUAAUGGAUGAGCCCACCAGCGACAUGGACCCGGUGACGCGCGCCAUUGUCUAUCGCACCAUACACGAUCUACUCGCUACACAACGCGCGGUUGUGCUGACUUCGCACUCGGUGUCGGAGAUCGAUGGAAUUUGCCAUCGUAUCGCUGUGCUCAAGGACGGUCAAAUCCUGACCUGCAGCAGUCCGGAGAGUUUGAACAAGCAGUACGGCGGUUACUACAAUGUCGUAAUUUAUGGCGACAACCAAUUGAUCGAAUCGGUAGAGAAGGCCAUACAUAUGCGCCUGCCGCAGUGCGUGGACUUCCAGACUUACCCGCAUUCCAUAAAGUUUAGUCUCAAAAUCCAAACAGUCAAGCCGCGUGAGCAUGAUGUGGAGGCAAUGGUGCCACCACAGAGCAACAAAGUGUUAAGUUUAGCCGAUCUUUUCCGUGAAUUGAACACGCUGUCGAAGCAAUAUGAAAAUCGCCUGCACUACACAGUCAGCCAUUGUCGUCUGGAUGCGGUGUUCGAGCGCAUCUUGGAUUCCAGCGAACAGCCACCUACCAUCGCCAAUGGUCUGGGCAAGUCGAGCUUGAUGGGCAGCCCUUCCACCGGUUACAUCCACAAUGGUUACGUGGAAACGGAGACUGUCACAUGACCAUCCAGCGCGUCGUUGCUUCCGUCGCCGUCAACAGCUAAUGCAACUGUUCAAGGCUGUGGCUCUGCGCUCAUUUAGUCGAAGUUCGACCGGCAGCAACGACCUUGUUUACCAGCGACAAGUUUUAUAGUCCAACGACCAACUACAUAUUUACUUAAUUACUCUAUGCGAUAUUUGUUUGUGAUAAGGUUUAAUUUUGCUCUCAUAGGACUUUAUUGUAUCGUACUUUCUGUGUUUUUUUUUGUUUCAGUUUUCGAGUAUACUAAAGCCUUGGCUUUUUUUAAUCGAAUUAGGAAUUUUGGGUGUAACCGCGUAAUAAUUGUAGUUAGUUUUAAUGUAUUCUUAGCUGUUAUGUGCACAUUUUUGUGUUUUUAUGUCCGGAAGAACUCUACCAAAUGUGUUUUGUCGAUAUGUAAAAUGUGUAUGUAUGUUUCUCAUUCUUUGUUUCGUAUUUGUUUCCGUAUUGUAUUA
rnacentral:misc_RNA from 1 species